GACAUAGGUGGCGAACGUUAUCCGGAAUUACUGGGCGUAAAGAGUGCGUAGGUGGUUUAAUAAGUUACUGGUGGGAAAUCGGGGCUCAACCCCGUGGAAGUCAGUAAUACUAUUAAACUAGAGGGUCGGAGAGGUUAACGGAAUUCUAUGUGUAGCGGUAAAAUGCUUAAAUAUAUAGAGGAACACCGAACGGCGAAGGCAGUUAACUAUUCGAUUCCUGACGUUGAGGCACGAAAGCGUGGGGAGCAAGACGG
rnacentral:rRNA from 1 species